GCCGAGAUGGCGGAAUUGGUAGACGCGCCAGCUUCAGGUGCUGGUGGGGGUAUCCCCCGUGAAGGUUCAAGUCCUUUUCUCGGCA
rnacentral:tRNA from 1 species